rnacentral:rRNA from 1 species
GAUGAACGCUAGCGGCAGGCCUAAUACAUGCAAGUCGAACGGUAUCUGAGGGUAGCUUGCUACCCGAUUUGAGAGUGGCGCACGGGUGCGUAACGCGUGAGCAACCUACCCAUAUCAGGGGGAUAGCCCGAAGAAAUUCGGAUUAACACCGCAUAAUAAUACGCUAACACAUGUUGAUGUAUUUAAAUAUUUAUAGGAUAUGGAUGGGCUCGCGUGACAUUAGCUAGUUGGUAAGGUAACGGCUUACCAAGGCGACGAUGUCUAGGGGCUCUGAGAGUGGAAUCCCCCACACUGGUACUGAGACACGGACCAGACUCCUACGGGAGGCAGCAGUAAGGAAUAUUGGUCAAUGGGCGCAAGCCUGAACCAGCCAUGCCGCGUGCAGGAUGACUGCCCUAUGGGUUGUAAACUGCUUUUGUUAGGGAAUAAACCUUCUUACGUGUAAGGGGCUGAAUGUACCUAAAGAAUAAGGAUCGGCUAACUCCGUGCCAGCCGCCGCAGUAA